rnacentral:rRNA from 1 species
UACAGAGGUCCCAAGCGUUGUUCGGAUUCACUGGGCGUAAAGGGUGCGUAGGUGGCCAGGUAAGUUCGGUGUGAAAGCUCGGAGCUUAACUCCGAAAUGUCAUUGAAUACUAUCUGGCUGGAGGGUCGGAGGGGAGACUGGAAUUCUCGGUGUAGCAGUGAAAUGCGUAGAUAUCGGAGAGGAACACCAGUGGCGAAGGCGAGUCUCUGGACGACUCCUGACACUGAGGCACGGAAAGCCAGGGGAGCAGACAGGAUUAGAAAACCCU